AUUGAACGCUGGCGGCAGGCCUAACACAUGCAAGUCGAGCGGAUGAAGAGAGCUUGCUCUCUGAUUCAGCGGCGGACGGGUGAGUAAUGCCUAGGAAUCUGCCUGGUAGUGGGGGACAACGUUUCGAAAGGAACGCUAAUACCGCAUACGUCCUACGGGAGAAAGUGGGGGAUCUUCGGACCUCACGCUAUCAGAUGAGCCUAGGUACGAUUAGCUAGUUGGUGAGGUAAAGGCUCACCAAGGCGACGAUCGUUAACUGGUCUGAGAGGAUGAGCAGUCACACUGGAACUGAGACACGGUCCAGACUCCUACGGGAGGCAGCAGUGGGGAAUAUUGGACAAUGGGCGAAAGCCUGAUCCAGCCAUGCCGCGUGUGUGAAGAAGGUCUUCGGAUUGUAAAGCACUUUAAGUUGGGAGGAAGGGCAGUAAGUUAAUACCUUGCUGUUUUGACGUUACCGACAGAAUAAGCACCGGCUAACUUCGUGCCAGCAGCCGCCGUAACAC
rnacentral:rRNA from 1 species